AUUGAACGCUGGCGGCAGGCCUAACACAUGCAAGUCGAACGAGUGGCGGACGGGUGAGCAAUGUCUGGGAAACUGCCUGAUGGAGGGGGAUAACUACUGGAAACGGUAGCUAAUACCGCAUACCAUCGGAUGUGCCCAGAUGGGAUUAGCUAGUAGGUGGGGUAAAGGCUCACCUAGGCGACGAUCCCUAGCGGGUCUGAGAGGAUGACCGGGCACACGGGAACUGAGACACGGCCCAGACUCCUACGGGAGGCAGCAGUGGGGAAUAGUGCACAAUGGGCGCAAGCCUGAUGCAGCCAUGCCGCGUGUGUGAAGAAGGCCUUCGGGUUGUAAAGUUCUUUCGGCAGGGAGGCGUUACCCGAAGAAGAAGCACCGGCUAACUCCGUGCCAGCAGCCGCGGUAAUUC
rnacentral:rRNA from 1 species